AUUGAACGCUGGCGGCAGGCCUAACACAUGCAAGUCGAACGGUAACAGGAAGAAGCUUGCUUCUUUGCUGACGAGUGGCGGACGGGUGAGUAAUGUCUGGGAAACUGCCUGAUGGAGGGGGAUAACUACUGGAAACGGUAGCUAAUACCGCAUAACGUCGCAAGACCAAAGAGGGGGACCUUCGGGCCUCUUGCCAUCGGAUGUGCCCAGAUGGGAUUAGCUAGUUGGUGGGGUAACGGCUCACCAAGGCGACGAUCCCUAGCUGGUCUGAGAGGAUGACCAGCCACACUGGAACUGAGAUACGGUCCAGACUCCUACGGGAGGCAGCGGUGGGGAAUAUUGCACAAUGGGCGCAAGCCUGAUGCAGCCAUGCCGCGUGUAUGAAGAAGGCCUUCGGGUUGUAAAGUACUUUCAGCGGGGAGGAAGGGAGUAAAGUUAAUACCUUUGCUCAUUGACGUUACCCGCAGAAGAAGCACCGGCUAACUCCGUGCCAGCAGCCGCCGUAA
rnacentral:rRNA from 1 species